AAGUCACAGAGUGUGGAAGCUGCCCCAUUGUCUGGGGCUUUAUGAAGUCAUCAGUCAAAAGUAUAAAAAGAAGAGUGAUGCCAGAAGUUUGGAUGAGAUCUCUGAAUAUCCUAAGCCAAGUGCAGGCCAUAGGAGAAAGCAGUGAAAAAGAAACACUGUGACAAGCAAGGAAGAAACUUCAGACCAAGUUGACAGGCAGCCCUUCAGUUUACUGACUGCCGCUUCUUACCUGCCAACGCCAAGCACAAAGCUGCCUGCAGAGCCAGCCUCUAUCUGUGGUCCUUGUGCCAAUUAUCACUGCCCCACUCAUGCCGCAGGAUAUAAAGCAGAGUGACAGGGUCACAGGACUGCCAGAGGAAUACAGGCUGCAGUGCAGUGGUGCCAUCUGGGCUCACUGCAACCUCUGCCUCCCAGGUUCAAGUGAUCCUCAUGCCUCAGCCUCCUGAGUAACUGGGAUUACAGCUUCUAGAGGCUACCCACAUUCCUGGGCUAAUGGCCCCUUCCUACAUCUUCAAAGCCAGCAGUGGUGGGCUGAGUCUUUCUCCUGGUAUCAUCUCUUCAUUCUCUAUCUCCCUCUCCCAAUUUUAAGGACCUCUGUGAUUAUAUUGGGCACCUGGAUAUUGCAGGAUACGCUCUCUAUUUUAAGGCUAUGCUCCGUAAAGAGAGUGCCUCCUCUAGAAUCACAAGACCUAAGCAUGAAUCUUCCUUUGAAGGAUAAAAUGGAAGGAAAAAAACUGGAUGAGGAAAAGAAGAGUGGGGAAUAGAAAGAGAGAGAGAGAGAAAGAUGGAUAAAUUUUUAAAGUUACUAUAAUAAAAAUCUUCUACAACGAAACUAUAAUUGUUGAUCAGCAAAUGUGAACUAAUCCUCCUCCUCCUUACCUUCU
rnacentral:lncRNA from 1 species